UGGGGAAUAUUGCACAAUGGAGGGAACUCUGAUGCAGCGACGCCGCGUGAACGAAGAAGGCUUUCGAGUCGUAAAGUUCUUUUAUAUGGGAAGAUAAUGACGGUACCAUAAGAAAAAGCCCCGGCUAACUACGUGCCAGCAGCCGCGGUAAUACGUAGGGGGCUAGCGUUGUCCAGAAUCACUGGGCGUAAAGGGUUCGCAGGCGGAAAUGCAAGUCAGGUGUAAAAGGCAGUAGCUUAACUAGUGUAAGCAUUUGAAACUGCAUAUCUUGAGAAGAGUGGAGGUAAGUGGAAUUUUUAGUGUGGCGGUGAAAUGCGUAGAUAUUAAAAAGAAUACCGGUGGCGCAGGCGACUUCCGGAGCUCAUUAUGACGCUGAGGAACGAAAGCGUGGGUAGCAAACAGG
rnacentral:rRNA from 1 species